rnacentral:rRNA from 1 species
CAGCAGCCGCGGUAAUACAGAGGGUGCGAGCGUUAAUCGGAUUUACUGGGCGUAAAGCGUGCGUAGGCGGCUUCUUAAGUCGGAUGUGAAAUCCCUGAGCUUAACUUAGGAAUUGCAUUCGAUACUGGGAAGCUAGAGUAUGGGAGAGGAUGGUAGAAUUCCAGGUGUAGCGGUGAAAUGCGUAGAGAUCUGGAGGAAUACCGAUGGCGAAGGCAGCCAUCUGGCCUAAUACUGACGCUGAGGUACGAAAGCAUGGGGAGCAAACAGGAUUAGAUACCCCGUAGUCCCUGUCUCUUAUACA